rnacentral:rRNA from 1 species
AUUGAACGCUGGCGGCAGGCCUAACACAUGCAAGUCGAGCGGAUGACGGGAGCUUGCUCCUUGAUUCAGCGGCGGACGGGUGCGUAAUGCCUAGGAAUCUGCCUGGUAGUGGGGGACAACGUUUCGAAAGGAACGCUAAUACCGCAUACGUCCUACGAGCGAAAGCAGGGGACCUUCGGGCCUUGCGGUAUCAGAGGAGCCUAGGUCGGAUUAGCUAGUAGGUGAGGUAAUGGCUCACCUAGGCGACGAUCCGUAACUGGGCUGAGAGGAUGAUCAGUCACACUGGAACUGAGACACGGUCCAGACUCCUACGGGAGGCAGCAGUGGGGAAUAUUGGACAAUGGGCGAAAGCCUGAUCCAGCCAUGCCGCGUGUGUGAAGAAGGUCUUCGGAUUGUAAAGCACUUUAAGUUGGGAGGAAGGGCAGUAAGCUAAUACCUUGCUGUUUUGACGUUACCGACAGAAUAAGCACCGGCUAACUCUGUGCCAGCCGCCGCGGUAAAAC